GCCAGACUCCUACGGGAGGCAGCAGUGGGGAAUAUUGCACAAUGGGGGGAACCCUGAUGCAGCGACGCCGCGUGAGUGAAGAAGUAUUUCGGUAUGUAAAGCUCUAUCAGCAGGGAAGAAAAACCGACCAUAGGGUCGCUAGACGGUACCUGAUUAAGAAGCCCCGGCUAACUACGUGCCAGCAGCCGCGGUAAUACGUAGGGGGCAAGCGUUAUCCGGAUUUACUGGGUGUAAAGGGAGCGUAGACGGCAGCGCAAGUCUGAAGUGAAAUGCCGGGGCUUAACCCCGGAACUGCUUUGGAAACUGAGCAGCUAGAGUGCAGGAGAGGUAAGUGGAAUUCCUAGUGUAGCGGUGAAAUGCGUAGAUAUUAGGAGGAACAUCGGUGGCGUAAGCGCUUUACUGGGCCGUAAUUGACACUGAGGAACGAAAGCCGGGGUAGCAAAUGGGAUUAGAUACCCUGGUACA
rnacentral:rRNA from 1 species